AAAGAAAUCAGCCAAGACCUCAGAAGAGAAAAAAACGUACUUACAUACUUACACGGAAAUGUGUAGUUUCAUCUCAGAAUGUAUUCGUCCUUCUUCUAGGUGUGGUGUCCGAUGUCUCCGGAGUUCUACCGGGAAUACGUGGCCAUCAAGACGAAGAGACGUAUCCUCCUCUACACCAUGAACCCCAACAAGUUCAGAGCCUGUCAGUUCCUCAUCAAGUUCCACGAGAGACGCAACGACAAGAUCAUGGUGUUCGCUGACAACGUGUUCGCUCUGAAGGAGUACGCUAUCCGCCUCAACAAGCCCUAUAUCUAUAGUAC